rnacentral:rRNA from 1 species
UAGGGAAUCUUCCACAAUGGACGAAAGCCUGAUGGAGCAACGCCGCGUGAGUGAAGAAGGGUUUCGGCUCGUAAAACUCUGUUGUUAAAGAAGAACAUAUCUGAGAGUAACUGUUCAGGUAUUGACGGUAUUUAACCAGAAAGCCACGGCUAACUACGUGCAAG